AAGAGGAUGAAAAUCUAGCUGGCAAUCAAAACAGGAAAUAUGAUCAGGCUCAGCCACACCUUAAUGAACAUAAAGAGCUACUUCAUUCAAGGCCAGGAUAUGUUCUAACAGCUGAUUCAAUGAAAGAGGUUAUUGAACAAUCUCUGAAAACUGUGAAUUAAAGAGUCGGAGCAAUUGUAGAUACAUGCACAGAAAAUGAAGAAAAAACUCUACUGAAACCAUGGCUUAGAUAUCAACAUAAAAUAACUUCUUUUAUCA